rnacentral:rRNA from 1 species
AGCGUUGUUCGGAAUUACUGGGCGUAAAGGGCUCGUAGGCGGCCAACUAAGUCAGACGUGAAAUCCCUCGGCUUAACCGGGGAACUGCGUCUGAUACUGGAUGGCUUGAGUUUGGGAGAGGGAUGCGGAAUUCCAGGUGUAGCGGUGAAAUGCGUAGAUAUCUGGAGGAACACCGGUGGCGAAGGCGGCAUCCUGGACCAACACUGACGCUGAGUGAGCGAAAGCCAGGGGAGCAAACGGG